GACGAACGCUGGCGGCGUGCUUAACACAUGCCAGUCGAACGGAAAGGCCCUGCUUUUGUGGGGUGCUCGAGUGGCGAACGGGUGAGUAAUACGUGAGUAACCUGCCCUUGACUUUGGGAUAACUUCAGGAAACUGGGGCUAAUACCGGAUAGGAGCUCCUGCUGCAUGGUGGGUGUUGGAAAGUUUCGGCGGUUGGGGAUGGACUCGCGGCUUAUCAGCUUGUUGGUGGGGUAGUGGCUUACCAAGGCUUUGACGGGUAGCCGGCCUGAGAGGGUGACCGGCCACAUUGGGACUGAGAUACGGCCCAGACUCCUACGGGAGGCAGCAGUGGGGAAUAUUGCACAAUGGGCGGAAGCCUGAUGCAGCAACGCCGCGUGCGGGAUGACGGCCUUCGGGUUGUAAACCGCUUUCGCCUGUGACGAAGCGUGAGUGACGGUAAUGGGUAAAGAAGCACCGGCUAACUACGUG
rnacentral:rRNA from 1 species